CGAGGCCCGGCCCUCCGCCUCUAGCCCCGCGCCUUCGAAGCCCCCUUUCCUGAUAAAGGUAUUAGUGCACGCCGUGUGUGCAGUCGGCACUCUGCAGAGCGCUAGGGGUGCACCCGAGUUCGGGGAGCGUGUCCUCUGCGGCAGUAGACGAGCUCGUACAAGGGAAUGGGCAGCAAAUACAGCAGGGAAGGAAGACAGACGGAUCGAGAGUCUAAGAACUGAACUCCAGGUCAAGAACCAUUUUCCUGGGAACUUCAAAGGCAGUGCUCUGCUGACCUCCUGCUCAUGGAGUUCCUGGAGAGGAUUCCUGCGCAUUUCCCACCACGGUCUUUGUGACCGUUGCCCCUGCUCUGCAAGCUCCAGACGUGACUUUUCUCGAGUACCCAAGAACUGGCACAUAAAGACGCCUGUGUGGGUCUGUUUGCCUUUUCUCCAUCAUGCUGGAUGCCCGUAAACUCUUCCAAUCUGGAGAUCUACGUGCUUCCGUCUGAGAUGCAUUCUC
rnacentral:lncRNA from 1 species